rnacentral:misc_RNA from 1 species
UGACCGUCUCAAACCUAGGGUAAAGGGCCAGAUUUUCUCUUCACUAUACUUGAAUUUACAAAGCUACCGUCCAACGACCGCACUUCUAAAGCGGUUAGAUGCUCAAGGCAUAUUAGUUAUGCGAGGCCAAAAUGAUAAUUUCAUCAGUUAAAUUGGUUUAUUAUUAUCGCCCCUAGUAUGAAAAUAAUUCACGGCCAUGAAAAUUCCAUAAAAUAUCAACGGGCGACUCCACAGGCUGCGAUCUGCAGUAAACGAAAUCGGAGAUUUCUAUCUCGAAGAAAGAUGACCAGAAAGUUUUUCGUCGGCGGCAACUGGAAAUGCAAUGGAACCACUGAAGAAGUGAAGAAGAUAGUCUCCACUCUCAAUGAAGGUCAGGUGCCGUCCCCAGAUGUUGUUGAGGUUGUGAUAAGCCCUCCAUUUGUAUAUCUUCCACUGGUGAAGAGUUUGUUGAGGCCUGAUUUUCAUGUUGCGGCACAAAAUUGUUGGGUGAAGAAAGGAGGUGCUUUCACCGGUGAAGUCAGUGCAGAAAUGCUUGUGAAUCUUGGUAUUCCUUGGGUCAUUCUUGGCCAUUCUGAAAGGAGACUUAUCUUAAACGAGUCAAAUGAGUUUGUUGGGGACAAGGUUGCAUAUGCACUUUCUCAAGGUUUGAAGGUGAUAGCUUGUGUGGGUGAGACUCUCGAGCAGCGUGAAUCAGGAUCUACCAUGGAAGUUGUUGCUGCACAAACUAAAGCUAUUGCAGAACAAGUAAAGGAUUGGACAAAUGUGGUUUUGGCUUAUGAGCCUGUGUGGGCUAUUGGAACAGGGAAGGUUGCAACUCCUGCCCAGGCACAGGAAGUACAUUCUGAACUGAGGAAAUGGCUUAAAGCGAGCACCAGUCCUGAAGUUGCUGCAACAACCAGGAUUAUUUAUGGAGGAUCGGUCAAUGCUGCCAACAGCAAGGAAUUGGCAGCACAGCCGGAUGUUGAUGGCUUUUUGGUUGGCGGAGCCUCUCUAAAGCCGGAGUUCAUCGAAAUCAUCAAGUCUGCAGAGGUAAAGAAAAAUGCUUGAACCUGGGCACUGGUCAUUAUUGGUGACUCUUUGAAUCUAUGUCAGAGGAGGUACAAAAUCGAUUAUAAUUUUGGACAAUUUUUCGAGGAAAUAAAAAUUUCUGUGUAA